rnacentral:rRNA from 1 species
GACGAACGCUGGCGGCGUGCUUAACACAUGCAAGUCGAACGCUGAAGACCUGGCUUUUGUUGGGUUGGAUGAGUGGCGAACGGGUGAGUAACACGUGAGUAACCUUCCCUCUUCUUUGGGAUAACGCCCGGAAACGGGUGCUAAUACUGGAUAUUCACUGGCCUUCGCAUGGGGGUUGGUGGAAAGGUUUGUUCUGGUGGGGGAUGGGCUCGCGGCCUAUCAGCUUGUUGGUGGGGUGAUGGCCUACCAAGGCUUUGACGGGUAGCCGGCCUGAGAGGGUGACCGGUCACAUUGGGACUGAGAUACGGCCCAGAGUCCUACGGGAGGCAGCAGUGGGGAAUAUUGCACAAUGGGCGAAAGCCUGAUGCAGCGACGCCGCGUGAGGGAUGGAGGCCUGCGGGUUGUAAACCUCUUUCGCUAAUGGUCAAGCCGCAACUGUGGGUUGUGGUGAGGGUAGUGGGUAAAGAAGCGCCGGCUAACUACGUG